rnacentral:tRNA from 1 species
GCUCCUGUGGCCGAUCUGGAAAGGCACCUGUCUUGUAAACAGGUUCAUGUGAGUUCGACCCUCACCGGGAGCCCCA